rnacentral:rRNA from 1 species
GAUGAACGCUGGCGGCGUGCUUAACACAUGCAAGUCGAACGGAAAGGCUCCUGCUUGCAGGGGUACUCGAGUGGCGAACGGGUGAGUAACACGUGGGUGAUCUGCCCUGCACUUCGGGAUAAGCUCGGGAAACUGGGUCUAAUACCGGAUAGGACCACCUUCUGGAUGGUGGGGUGGGAAGUUUUUCGGUGGGGGAUGAGCUCGCGGCCUAUCAGCUUGUUGGUGGGGUAAUGGCCUACCAAGGCGUCGACGGGUAGCCGGCCUGAGAGGGUGUACGGCCACAUUGGGACUGAGAUACGGCCCAGACUCCUACGGGAGGCAGCAGUGGGGAAUAUUGCACAAUGGGCGCAAGCCUGAUGCAGCGACGCCGCGUGGGGGAUGACGGCCUUCGGGUUGUAAACUCCUUUCGCUAGGGACGAAGCGCAAGUGACGGUACCUGGAGAAGAAGCACCGGCUAACUACGUG